GGGCCCGCACAAGCGGCGGAGCAUGUGGCUUAAUUCGACGCAACGCGAAGAACCUUACCAAGGCUUGACAUACACCGGAAAGCAUUAGAGAUAGUGCCCCCCUUGUGGUCGGUGUACAGGUGGUGCAUGGCUGUCGUCAGCUCGUGUCGUGAGAUGUUGGGUUAAGUCCCGCAACGAGCGCAACCCUUGUCCCGUGUUGCCAGCAGGCCCUUGUGGUGCUGGGGACUCACGGGAGACCGCCGGGGUCAACUCGGAGGAAGGUGGGGACGACGUCAAGUCAUCAUGCCCCUUAUGUCUUGGGCUGCACACGUGCUACAAUGGCCGGUACAAUGAGCUGCGAUACCGUGAGGUGGAGCGAAUCUCAAAAAGCCGGUCUCAGUUCGGAUUGGGGUCUGCAACUCGACCCCAUGAAGUCGGAGUCGCUAGUAAUCGCAGAUCAGCAUUGCUGCGGUGAAUACGUUCCCGGGCCUU
rnacentral:rRNA from 1 species